GAGCUCAGGGACCUCUGGGUUCGCGGGGGCGGGGUGCCUCCUACUGUGCCGGCGGCUAUGGGCGAGGCAGGGCGAGGCGGGCCCGACCUGGGGCCAACUUCUCGUGUACCUGUUCCGGUUGUGGGCCCGGCACCCGUGUCCGCUCCUCUGGUGCCCUAGGUCAAGGCGUCCCCGGCACAGUCAGCUUUCCUGGCCCUGUCCCCGCUUCGCAAGAAGCGUGGGCCCAAGCAGCGGCGGCCGGGUGAAGAGCGGAGGCACCUCUUUCUUUUUGAGGACAGCAUUCCCUGCUCCCGUGGGGUGUCUUUCCAUUCCUCAAGCAACAGAGACAUGACAGCAUCUACGGUUGCCAGGCCUGGAGUCUGGAGAAGAAACUAGGACCCUGUACCACCUUUUGAGGACCCUGCGGAACAUGGAAUGCCCGAGGGGGGGAGGUGGUCUUCUGGGCCCCUACGUAGUAAAUAAUAAUAAUAGUCUCUCACGUUUGCACAA